rnacentral:rRNA from 1 species
GGACCCUACGGGAGGCAGCAGUGGGGGAUAUUGCACAAUGGGGGGAACCCUGAUGCAGCGACGCCGCGUGGGUGAAGAAGCGCCUCGGCGCGUAAAGCCCUGUCAGCAGGGAAGAAAAUGACGGUACCUGAAGAAGAAGCCCCGGCUAACUACGUGCCAGCAGCCGCGGUAAUACGUAGGGGGCAAGCGUUAUCCGGAUUUACUGGGUGUAAAGGGGGCGCAGACGGCGAUGCAAGCCAGGAGUGAAAGCCCGGGGCCCAACCCCGGGACUGCCCCUGGAACUGCGUGGCUGGCGUGCGGGGGGG